GGCUCCGUUUCUGGCCUUUUGUGAGAAAUGUGAUGUUCUGUAGUUGCGGUGUCUUUUUUGAUCCCUUUCUUUCUCCACUCCCCGCCCCCCCCUUUCGUGUGUGUGGCUAGGUUAAAAGCAUGUGGUUCUCAAACGUCUGCCUGGGUUAUGCCAGUUGGACCGGGAGAUGCCGGAUCUUCUGUUCUGACUGCUAUUUUUGCUGAGGAUUUGGGAUUUUUUUUUUUUUUUUUUGGUUGUUGUUUUUAGCUAGCAGCCUUAGAAAUUUCACCCUGGAAACGGCAGCAUCAGAUGCCUCCAACUCUUGCCUUAGCUCCAGCAGAGGGGUGGAUUUCAGUACAGCAGCACACAUCACCAAAGAGACACACGAGUUCGCCCUCCAGACAUCACUCAGCCAACUCGCCUUUCCUCGGCUCCCUCCCCCUUCUCGAGUCUUUUUCUUGGGGUGGCAGCACCAAGCUAACCCCAAGCCAAAGCACUCGUUUGGUGGCACCUUUCACCAACCACCCCUAAACAAAACACGAUGAUUAACACAGCCCCCGAAUUCAAUUAGACAUUCAAUAUGCUAAUGUGAGGUCUGAAACCCACCCCAGCAGAACAAUAAAAAUGGUAUCAACCCACGUUUUCUUUGUGCAGGCAAGGAGAAGGAGAGGGAGAGACAGAAAAUCAUCUCCCCUGUUUCCUGAACUGCAGUGGGGAGGGGGAAAUAUUUUCUACAGGAAAAAGGGGUUGGUUUCAACUGAAGCAAACAUAUUAUCUUUACAUGUGUUAUAUUUAGAGAACAACUGGGUUUCUUUCAUCUUUUUUCCCUUUCUUUCAUGUCCAAGGAGCAACUGCAGUGACUCUGCUGCCAGCAACAGCAUGUGUGCUGUCAAUUCCUGUCCAUUUCACCUCAGGUCACUAAAUGACUUAAAAAAAAAGAAAAAUGAAGGUCGAAGAAAGCAGGAGGGGGAAUAAAAAUUUCCAGUUCCCGUGACCACCCUUGUUUCACCUCUUCUGCCUUGACAACACACCUCUCUUCCAGACUCAAAGUACCCCCUUUGGACUCCAGCCCUGUGAGGUGAGGUACUGCUCAUCUGAAUCUUCCUGAGUGUUUGUAUGUACAAACCAACUGCCCAGAAAGCAGGGGUUUGGAAAUAGCAAAACAGAAAAUAUGACUACACCACUCUAAAAAAGUCUGCGGUAUGCCCACAUUGUGAAUGCAGUAUGCAGUUCUGAUCUCUUCCUAACUCUAACAGAUCUAGUGGGACUAGAGGGAUCUCUGGAGAACAUGGGACAGCUUCUAUAAGGUAAGUCCCUCCAGCCUGGGUAGGAGGUGGUUGAGGGAGCUCUGAUAAUAUUUGUAAGAGUGCCAUGGUAAAAGUGAACGAGAAAUGAUUGUUAUUCCUUGUAAUAUAUGAUCGAAAGGCAUUAAAUGAAGUUAUUAAGUUGUAUAUUUAAAACAAACAAUAGGAGGCACUUUUUUUUCUCACAGGACAUAGUUAAAUGAUGGAAGUUGUUACCACAGAAGCUUAUAAAUGACAGAAGAUUAUGUGGACUGAAAGAGCAAUUAGAUAAACCCACAGACAAAAAAAAUCUUUUAAGGCUACAGCACACAAAGAUAAAAAACCUGACUGUACAUCCCAAAUGUGUCAGAAUUUAGGAUGCAUACCAGGGGAAUAGCUACUAAAUAAGUACCUUGCUAUUAAGUACUCUUCUAGGCAUUUGCAAACAGGCUAGCAGGUAGACAUUUGCUAGCAGGUAGGAUGCUGGGGCCAGACUAAUCUUUUGCCUGUUCAGCCCAGCUUAUGCUUAAAUUAUUAUUCCUGAUUUAAAGGAUUUGCUUUCAAAUGAAUUGCAUUUCAGUUUGCUGCUUGUUUCACAUUGCAUGUAUGUCGUUGAGGGGAGCAUAUCCACUGCUGGCACAAAUGGCAGUGGUGCUCUCUUGCACAGUGUACAAUGGGGUUUCCCAAACCAGGGGAAUAUCAGGGAAGCUAAGAGAGCUGACAGAAGUCUGCAGCUUGUGUGGUAGUGGCUGACAAGACCUGGGCAGGCCCAGAAGCAACAGUAAACAAUUCUCCCCCCCAGAAAAAAAAGAAUCCCUCAGGGCACGGCAUGGCAAUUGGUGCAGGGUAUGCAGGAAGAGCACAAAACCCCUGCAAGCUCAACCAGGAAGCAAUGGCAUCCACCUGGCAGAAAGCUACAACCUCUCUAAGCUCUGCACCCAGCAUGACUGAUGCAGCUGCCCACAGUGCUCCAGGGAACAUGCUGACACUCCAAAGGCAGCUGCAGAGUGUGCUCUGCAGAAGGGAGGAGUGAGUACACCUCUGGGGAGGUGCACCCAGGUAGAGGAGCUCCUUUGAUUACUGACAGAGCAUGAGAGAGAGAGAGAUACCACUGGAAUUUCACCCUACUUUCCCUGUGACAGGCCUGACAGGCAGAGAGGAUGCACAAUAUGGAGAAUUCCCUGCCCACUUUCACCCUGGCAGAACACAGUUACUUAAUGUCUAGAACAGCAGGCGCAUUUUCCCUGACUUUUCAGGUGCCCUGGCCUAAUAGUGUGAGGCUCUGCAAGCAGACCUGAACAACAGCAAGGACAAUGAUUCAUCUAGCUUGGAAGUGUCACCGAAGUCCUGAAAGGAAAAGGAGUCCAGGAAGACCAGACACUCCUCAAGAAGGAAAACUUAAAGAUGAAGGAGCAGGCCAUUACCAUAUGCCAAAAGACAAACUGGAGGAAAAGGAUGCUGUGUUUGAACAGAGAGCUUUGGCUGGAACUCAGGGUAAAAGAAAAGCAGUAUAUCACCUUUGAAAGAAAGGGUGGGCAACUCAGGAAGACAAGGAUGCCAUAAGGUUAUAUAAGGAGAAAAUUAGAAGGGCCAAAGCCCAAGUAGAACUUAAUCUGGCUAAUGUUGUAAACGACAACAAAAAAACACAUCAGCAACAGACAGAAUAUAAUAAAGGGAACUGAGAGAGCACUGAAAGUGUUCACCAAUAUAUUUAUCACCAAUAUAUUUAUCACCAAUUUAUACCAACAUUUUAUCACCAAUUAUUUACCAGCACUCCUGGCUAACCAGGGCAGUGCCAACUGACCGGAAGGUGGCAAAUGUGACUUCCAGCUACAAGGUGGACCAGAAGGAAGGUACUGAGAUCCACAGGCCUGUUAGCGUGGCCUUGAUGCUGGGGAAGGUCAUGGAGCAGGUCAUCCUGAGGGCCAUCACACAGCAGGUACAGGGCAACCAGGGGAUGAGGCACAGCCAACGUGGGUUUGGGAAAGUCAGGUCCUGCCUAACCAACCUGUGACCCGCCUAGUGGAUAAGGGAAAGGCUACAGAUACAGUUUUCCCAGACAUUAGCAAAGCCUUUGGCAAUGCCUCCCACUGGAUUGUCUUCACGAAAUUAACUACUUAAGGCUUGGAUGUAUGGACUGUUCAUCACAUAAAAACUGGAUGUCUGGGCCAGAGAGUGGUGGUCAAUGGAAUCAAAUCCUGUCUGCAGAGGAUCACUAGUGGAGUUUCUCAGUUCUCAGUAUUGGGGCUGAUCCUGUUUAAAGUCUUUAUCAAUGUUCUGGAUGAGGGACUUGAACUCAAUUAGUUCACAGAUGACACUAAUUUGGGUGGGAGUGUUGAUCUGCUGGAGGGUGGGAAGGCUGUACAGAGAGAUCUUGACAGACUGAACUGAUGGGCUGAGAAUGAGGUUCAACAAGGCAAAGUUCCAAGUCCUGCACUUCAGUUACAACAAAGCUUGAGGUGCUACAAGCUUGGGGUAGCGUGUCUGGAAAGCUGCUUAGCAGAAAGGGAUCUGGGGCUGCUGCUUGACAGCAGCUGAACAUGAGCCAGCAGAGUGCCUAGAUGGCCAAGAA